rnacentral:misc_RNA from 1 species
GAAAUAGAUAAUUACGUUGAUGCCCUAACUACAAUGGAGGCAGAAUUAGAAACAGACUCUGAGCAGAGAGACAGAAGGGAUUUGCCCUUCUUGAACAGCAAAAAGCAAGUGCUAUGUCUGUCUUCUAGCAGUGAAAAGCUUCAAACUCAAUCUUCAGAUUCCCAUUCAAUUGAGAACUCUACAUUAUCUGAUGAUGGGAAUAGUUAUUCUAAGAAAGAAAUAUCUAGUUUUUCUUGUUCUGAUUCCCCUAGCACUUCUGUUGAGAGUGUCCUCUUGGAGAGCGAAAUUUCUAGUAAGGGA